ensembl:lncRNA
AGAACAGACUAUUUUUUUUUUUUACUGUUUGGAGGGUUGGCUCAGUUUCCAGUCCUAAGUGUAAUAACAAACACAAUUUUUUUCUCAGUUUUCUUGACCCUUUUGAGGUCUGAUUCUGUAUCACAGAUUUAUUUAGCACUUAAAAAAAAACACACAUCUUUGCCAGAUAACAUUGGGCUACUAUAGUACAUGUGUCAAGCAUUUAUUUACAAAUUAGCCCAUUUGAUUUCUCAAAACUAUGCAAAGACCUACCACUUGCAGUUCUAACCUUUGUUUCUUCUCUUCCACACUGUUGCUGGUCUUCUUGAUGCCUUUGAGGCCAUGUGUCAGUUCAAAUGCAUUACAGUGACCAGGCCAUCAGACCACACCUAACAGCAAUUUGCAAUGGACUGACCUUCCUGACAUCACAAAAAGCAUUCUGAUGGCUAUGAAGCAGGAAGACUGCCCAUAUUCCAAGGAAGACAGCUGACAGAAGGAACAUUCCAGCUCAAGAGUGGCCUAUGUUUAGGCCUGUUUAUAUUCAUGUUUUGUGUUCAGUAAGCUACACAGUUCUCUAUGCAGUCUUGGGAGUUUUAAAUAACAGAUUAUUGCAGAUCAGAAUUAUUCCAUAGCCAAACAAUGGCAUUGAUUGUUUACAAG